rnacentral:rRNA from 1 species
GACGAACGCUGGCGGCGUGCCUAAUACAUGCAAGUCGAACGCAGUUGCGAACGGGUGAGUAACGCGUCGGUAACUGCCUCAUAGCGGGGGAUAACUAUUGGAAACGAUAGCUAAUACCGCAUACUGUGAGAUGGACCUGCGUUGUAUUAGGUAGUUGGGGGGGUAAAGGCUCACCAGGGCGACGAGACAUAGCCGACCUGUGAGGGUGGUCGGCCCACAUGGGAAUGAGACACGGCCCAGACUCCUACGGGAGGGAGCAAGAGGGAAUCUUCGGCAAUGGGCGGAAGGCUGGCCGAGCAACGCCGCGGGAGUGAAGAAGGGUUUCGGGUCGUAAAGCUCUGUUGUUCGAGAAGCGGUACCUGACCAGGAAGGGACGGCUAACUACGUGCCAGCCGCCGCGGUAAUUC